AUGUCACUUACCUUUCAAACAAGUAGCAGUUGAGUUUCAGUCGUCAGACUUGGCUGUCUCUGGAUUCAUACGGUUAUUCUGUUCUGGUAACCUGAUCCAGCACAACAGGUCCUCCCAAGGAAGCUCGCUUGCUCUUCUCACCCCAUCGCCUCCGAUGGGACCGAGUCAUUGCAUUCAAAGUGCACACAGUGACACCUCCGAGAGACUUGGGCUGUUCUCUUGUCUCACUUCUGCUCUCUCCCAGGCUGAAUGCACGCCCUGGAGAUGGGGAUCAGGAUAGUGGCUGGAGACCAGGCCACUCCUCUUAGCCAGCUAUUCCUGAUUCUUUUUCUUUGGCCAUGAGUCAGCCUGCUUGGGAGAUGAGCUUCCCCUGGGACUCUCCAGUGCUGCUGAAGAAGCUCAAGGUUUAAGACUUUUGUCUGCACGACAAGCGUGUAAAGCACAGGAAUGCUGUCGCCACGUGUAAGAUACGUACAGCAGGAUGAAGUGGCUUUGAAGUGGCCACCAGUGUGUAAGAGUACAUGGAAUAUUGGUGGUUAACCAGGGGUUCA